rnacentral:rRNA from 1 species
UCAGGAUGAACGCUGGCGGUAUGCCUAACACAUGCAAGUCGUACGAGAGUUUUUAACUCUAGUGGCGGACGGGUGAGUAACACGUGAGAAUUUGCCUUUAGGAGGGGGAUAACAAUUGGAAACGAAUGCUAAUACCCCAUAUGCUUUCGAGUGAAAUGGAUUUAUAUUUAUCCGCCUAGAGAGAAGCUCGCGGCUGAUUAGCUUGUUGGUAAGGUAAGAGCUUACCAAGGCGACGAUCAGUAUCUGGUUUGAGAGGACGAUCAGACACACUGGAACUGAGACACGGUCCAGACUCCUACGGGAGGCAGCAGUGGGGAAUUUUCCGCAAUGGGCGAAAGCUGACGGAGCAAUACCGCGUGAGGGAAGACUGCCUAUGGGUUGUAAACCUCUUUUUUCAGGGAGGAAUAAAAUGACGUGUACCUGAAGAAUAAGCAUCGGCUAACUCCGUGCCAGCAGCCGCGGUAAGACGGAGGAUGCAAGUGUUAUCCGGAAUCACUGGGCGUAAAGCGUCUGUAGGUGGUUUGAUAAGUCAACUGUUAAAUCUUGAGGCUCAACUUCAAAAUCGCAGUCGAAACUAUUAGACUAGAGUAUAGUAGAGGUAAAGGGAAUUUCCAGUGGAGCGGUGAAAUGCGUAGAUAUUGGAAAGAACACCGAUGGCGAAACACUUUACUGGGCUAUUACUAACACUCAGAGACGAAAGCUAGGGUAGCAAAUGGGAUUAGAUACCCCAGUAGUCCUAGCUGUAAACUAUGGAUACUAGAUGUUGAACAGAU